rnacentral:rRNA from 1 species
AGGAUCAACGCUGGCGGCGUGCCUAACGCAUGUAAGUCGAACGCAGUGCCUUCGGGUACUGAGUGGCGAACGGCUGAGGAACACGUACGAACCUGCCCUCCCGUGGGGAAUAACGCCGCGAAAGCGGUGCUAAUACCGCGUACGCUGGGACUUCGGUUUCAGGAAAGUCUUCGGACGCGGGAGGAGGGGCGUGCGGCCCAUCAGGUCGUUGGUGGGGUAACGGCCUACCAAGCCAUUGACGGGUAGCUGGUCUGUGAGGACGAUCAGCCAGACUGGGACUGCGAAACGGCCCAGACACCUACGGGUGGCAGCAGCGAGGAAUCUUCCACAAUGGACGCAAGUCCGAUGGAGCAACGCCGCGUGGAGGACGACGGCCUCGGGUUGUAAACUCCUUUCGGGGGAGGAUACGGACAGUACCCCAAAAGCAGCCCCGGCUAACUCUGUGCCAGCAGCCGC